CUGAGUCCAUGCUGCCUGUCUGCUUCUGCUCCCAGGACGCAGGCAUAGCAGAGGCCGGGCCCAGAGCAGGCCCAUGUGCACAGCGGACAGACAGGACAGUGAAGGAAGCAGGGAGACAGGAGGCCCGGAAAGACCAGAAUCCAACUCGGGGCUCUCGACUUGGAGGCACACACCUUGACCCGCUGGGCCCUUUUCCUGGUUCCUGGCUGCUCUUUUGAUUUCAACAACACCUGGCAGAGACAGCAUGUGGCUCUUAACUGUAGCCCCAGCACCAAGGAUGCUAAAGCAGGGGACCACGGUGAGUUUAAGGCCAACUGAGCAACAGAAUUCCAGAUCUUUAUGCACUAGAGACCUCGCCUCAGACAAAACAAAACAAAAAAGCAAAUCAAUAAUGGCACAGUGCUCCCGUUUACCCAAAGUUUGACUUUCUUUUCUUGCUUUUUUCAAGACAGGGUUUCUCUGUAUAGCCCUGGCUGUGCUGGACUCACCCAGUAGACCAGCCUGGCCUAGAACUCACAACAGAGAUCUUCCUGCCUCUGCCUCCCUGAGUGCUGGGAUUACGGGCAUGCGACCCCAUCCAUGCCUGGCCAACGUUUGACUUUCUGUAGUCUUGGUUACUGCAGUCUGAAAGUACUGGCAUGUCUGGGUUGUCUUGAAAGGUUCUAUUUAUAAAUGCUUUGUAUCGAACAA